AUUGAACGCUGGCGGCAGGCCUAACACAUGCAAGUCGAACGAGUGGCGCACGUGCGAGCAAUGUAUCUGAAAGGGCGUGAGGGAUAGGGAUAGCUACUGGGAACUAUAGCUAAUACCGCAUACCAUAGCAUGGGCCCAUAUGGGAUUAGCUAGGUGGUGGGGUAAAGGCUACCCUAGGCGACGACCCCUAGCUGGUCUGUGAGGAUGACCAGCCACACUGGAACUGAUACACGGUCCAGACUCCGACGGGAGGCAGCAGUGGGGAAUAUUGCACAAUGGGCGCAAGCCUGAUGCAGCCAUGCCGCGUGUGUGAAGAAGGUCUUCGGGUUGUAAAGUACUUUAAGCGGGGAGGCGUUACCCGCAGAAGAAGCACCGGCUAACUCCGUGCCAGCAGCCGCGGUAAUUC
rnacentral:rRNA from 1 species